rnacentral:rRNA from 1 species
AUUGAACGCUGGCGGCAGGCCUAACACAUGCAAGUCGAACGGUAACAGGAAGCAUCUUGCUGCUUUGCUGACGAGUGGCGGACGGGUGAGUAAUGUCUGGGAAACUGCCCGAUGGAGGGGGAUAACUACUGGAAACGGUAGCUAAUACCGCAUAACGUCGCAAGACCAAAGAGGGGGACCUUAGGGCCUCUUGCCAUCUGAUGUGCCCAGAUGGGAUUAGCUAGUAGGUGGGGUAACGGCUCACCUAGGCGACGAUCCCUAGCUGGUCUGAGAGGAUGACCAGCCACACUGGAACUGAGACACGGUCCAGACUCCUACGGGAGGCAGCAGUGGGGAAUAUUGCACAAUGGGCGCAAGCCUGAUGCAGCCAUGCCGCGUGUAUGAAGAAGGCCUUCGGGUUGUAAAGUACUUUCAGCGGGGAGGAAGGGAGUAAAGUUAAUACCUUUGCUCAUUGACGUUACCCGCAGAAGAAGCACCGGCUAACUCCGUG